rnacentral:misc_RNA from 1 species
GAUGAAGAACGUAGCGAAAUGCGAUAAGUAGUGUGAAUUGCAGAAUUCAGUGAAUCAUCGAAUCUUUGAACGCACAUUGCGCCCUUUGGUAUUCCUUAGGGCAUGCCUGUUCGAGCGUCAUCUAAACCCUCAAGCGCUGCUUGGUGUUGGGUGCCUGUCCCGCCCCCGCGCGUGGACUCACCUCAAAUCCAUUGGCGGCCCUCACGUCGGCUUCGAGCGCAGCAGAAACGCGAACUCGUGGCCCGGCGGAGCGGCUCCCAGAAGCUACUUUCACCCUUUUUACCUCGGAUCAGGUAGGCAUACCCGCUCAACCUAGGCAUAUCAAUAAGCGGAGGA